rnacentral:rRNA from 1 species
UACGAAGGGGGCUAGCGUUGCUCGGAAUCACUGGGCGUAAAGGGUGCGUAGGCGGGUCUUUAAGUCAGGGGUGAAAUCCUGGAGCUCAACUCCAGAACUGCCUUUGAUACUGAGAGCUUGAGUCCGGGAGAGGUGAGUGGAACUGCGAGUGUAGAGGUGAAAUUCGUAGAUAUUCGCAAGAACACCAGUGGCGAAGGCGGCUCACUGGCCCGGUACUGACGCUGAGAUGCGAAAGCGUGGGGAGCAAACAGG